CACGUAGGAGGCAAACGUUAUCCGGAUUUACUGGGCGUAAAGCGCGUGUAGGUGGUUCUGUAAGUAGGGCGUGAAAGCUCCCGGCUCAACUGGGAGAGGCCGUUCUAAACUGCAGAGCUAGAGGAUGGUAGAGGGAGGUGGAAUUCCAGGUGUAGCGGUGGAAUGCGCAGAUAUCUGGAGGAACACCAGUGGCGAAAGCGGCCUCCUGGACCAUUCCUGACACUCAGACGCGAAAGCUAGGGUAGCAAACGGGAUUAGAUACCCUGGUAGU
rnacentral:rRNA from 1 species